rnacentral:tmRNA from 1 species
CUUAUUGCUGAGUACAACCGUUUAUGGUAUUAUUAUCUCGUUGCUCUCGUUUUGAGUUUUGGAGUAACUAUGGUGAUAAAUGGAUCACGGAAUAGUCUUUAUGGACCAGGGGGCGGUACCCUGCGCCUCUACCAUUCUUCAUUUUUUAUGGGGGCGAAAUAGGUUCGACAUAUUGCAGUAAAGGCGAUUUUUUCACUCGGUAUGGUACCACCGUUAUCGGACUAUUUUAUAAUAAAUGCCAAUUUAUCUAACGGCAGAUGUUUCAGGAUUCGCAACCGCAACAAUCGGCGGCGGGUUUCUCGGGGCAAAAAGACAGCUUAAAUUACCUGUAUAGGUUUUAAGUAACUUUUUCCUUGUCCGUUUUUUCUUUUACGAAUGACGGUAGAAACAGCGGUACGGGGGAAACCGAGCAACAGAAUUCCCCCUCU